GUUUUACUUUAGCACUAGGGCCUUAUCUUUGAGAUAGUUUAAACUAAAAUGUAGGGGAAUAGCAAUAUUAAUUCGUGUCGAUACUUGGGAAAAUAUUAGUUGAAAUAUAUAACAUUUAAAACAUGGGUCCGUGGUCUACUUGGAUGUCUUUACACACACCACUUUCCUGCAUGGGGACAAGAAACAGUCUUAGAAACCUUAGAUUCAAAACCAGCUAAACUACAGCUUCCACAGUCUCAAAAAACUCUCUCUCUGUACAGGCCAGAAGUUCCUCCAUGUCAUCUUUUCCUCCCUCAUCCUCUUUGGAGGAGCAAUGUUUCAUUUGAUGCCUUUCUCUGUACUGACCUUCCAGAAUCUUUUCUCUCUUGGUCUCACGUUCAAACAUCUGAAAUGAAGUAAAAAUCCACUCCAACAGCUCAGCUGUCCAACUGCUUUACUAAAAUCUUAUGUCAAUAUGAAUUUGAAACUGUGAAUGUGUUUGCAUAAGUGAAGGAAGUUAUGGGGUGUUGCCUUUGGUGUGAGAGACCUGGGUUCGAAUCCACUGUGAGACACUAAUGUGUCCCUGAGCAAGACACUUAACCCCUAGUUGCUCCAGAGGCAUGUGACCUCUGACAUAUAUAGCAAUUGUAAGUCGC